rnacentral:sRNA from 1 species
AAUAGAAGAACGCAGGCCAAGAGCGCCACGUCACGUGGCAAUGCCUGCAUGACCUACAUCCUGUAGG